rnacentral:rRNA from 1 species
AGGACAGGUGGUGCAUGGUUGUCGUCAGCUCGUGUCGUGAGAUGUGGUUAAGUCCCGCAACGAGCGCAACCCUACUUGCUAGUUACCAUCAUUAAGUUGGGGACUCUAGCGAGACUGCCAGUGAUAAACUGGAGGAAGGUGGGGAUGACGUCAAAUCAUCAUGCCCCUUAUGACCUGGGCUACAAACGUGAUACAAUGGCUGGAACAAAGGGAUGCGAAGCAGUGAUGUGGAGCGAAACCCAUAAAAACAGUCUCAGUUCGGAUUGAAGUCUGCAACUCGACUUCAUGAAGUCGGAAUCGCUAGUAAUCGCGGAUCAGAACGCCGCGGUGAAUACGUUCUCGGGGUUU